rnacentral:rRNA from 1 species
GAGGAAGUAAAAGUCGUAACAAGGUUUCCGUAGGUGAACCUGCGGAAGGAUCAUUAUUGAUUGCGAAUGGUUGUCUGCAGUGCUGGCCGGGUCACUCUGGCAAGUGCACGUAGAUGGCUUUCAUCCAAUACCCUGUGCACCUUUGGCCUCUUGCUAGCUUCGGCCAGCAGAGGAUUUUACACCCACUCGAAUGUAAUGAAAUUACUGUUGUGCACACGCACUACUAUACAACUUUCAACAACGGAUCUCUUGGCUCUCGCAUCGAUGAAGAACGCAGCGAAAUGCGAUAAGUAAUGUGAAUUGCAGAAUUCAGUGAAUCAUCGAAUCUUUGAACGCACCUUGCACCCUUUGGUAUUCCGAAGGGUAUGCUCGUUUGAGUGUCAUUGUACUCUCACACUUCCGAUCGUUUGGAUCGGGAGCGGUGGACUUGGGUGUUGCUGCUGUACUGUGGCUCACCUUAAAUGCAGUAGUGCAACUCUCGGUUGGACAUAGUACGGCGUGAUAAGUGUCUUCGCCGGCACCUCCUCACAGAGGGUGGCCGAUCGGGAGCUCUGUGCUUCAAACCGUCUUCGGACAACAUCUGACAACUUGACCUCAAAUCGAGUAGGACUACCCGCUGAACUUAAGCAUAUCAAUAAGCGGAGGAAAAGAAACUAACAAGGAUUCCCCUAGUAACGGCGAGUGAAGAGGGAAGAGCUCAAAUUUUGAAUCUGGCGUCUCUGGCGUCCGAAUUGUAAUCUAGAGAAGUGUUUUCCGUGACGGACCGUGCACAAGUCUCCUGGAAUGGAGCGUCAUAGAGGGUGAGAAUCCCGUAUAUGGCAUGGACUCCCGUUGCUCUGUGAUACACUCUCGACGAGUCGAGUUGUUUGGGAAUGCAGCUCCAAAUGGGUGGUAAAUGCCAUCUAAAGCUAAAUAUUGGCGAGAGACCGAUAGCGAACAAGUACCGUGAGGGAAAGAUGAAAAGCACUUUGGAAAGAGAGUGAAACAGUACGUGAAAUUGUUGAAAGGGAAACGCUUGAAGCCAGUCGCGCCGUUCGGGAUUCAGCCUUGCUUCUGCUCGGUUUACUUCCCGUUGGGUGGGUCAACAUCAGUUUCGAUCGGAGGAGAAAGGCUUGGGGAAGGUAGCAGCAUYCGUGCUGUGUUAUAGCCCCCUGUUGUAUACUUCGAUUGGGACUGAGGACCGCAGCACGCCUCUGGCCGGGGUUCGCCCACGUACGUGCUUAGGAUGUUGGCAUAAUGGCUUUAAGCGACCCGUCUUGAAACACGGACCAA